UGGGGAAUAUUGGGCAAUGGGCGCAAGCCUGACCCAGCAACGCCGCGUGAAGGAAGAAGGCUUCGGGUUGUAAACUUCUUUGACAGGGGAAGAAAGCAAUGACGGUACCCUGAGAACAAGCCACGGCUAACUACGUGCC
rnacentral:rRNA from 1 species